GGGUCGGCCGGGCGGUCCGCCGUUUCGGCGUGUACUGCCUCAACCCAGGCCGGCCCUUUCCUUCUGGGGAGCCGGCGGCUGCCCCUUCACCGGAGCGCCGCCGGGGAGCCAGGACGUUUACCUUGAAAAAAUUAGAGUGUUCAAAGCAGGCGCACGCCUGAAUACAUUAGCAUGGAAUAAUGGAAUAGGACCUUGGUCCCAUUUUGUUGGUUUCUCGGACCACGGUA
rnacentral:rRNA from 1 species